UUAACCAAAACAGUUGGUGGCAAACACCUUUGUUAAAAGGAAGGGUGUUCCUUGAUUCAAGGCCGGUGUCUUAAUCAUCAUUCAUGAUUAUGCAUAAUUGAAUAAUCAUUCAAUCAUACCAGACAACUCUCUCUCACUCUCUCUGUCUCACGUCCGAAAACCAUCCAAGAAACAGAGCAAUCUUCAUCAACUCAUCUCUCCCUCCACCGACCACCAAUCAAGACCAGACCAGUUCCUAUAGUUCCACCUCGUUCUUGCGCAGCUACCAGUGGCAACCUUGCACCGCAACACGGCCGGCAGUGGCGGCGGAGGACACGGUUCCGUUUUGAGCUCGAUUUGGUUCUAUCUCGAUAUCUUGAGCUACAGGCCGCCAAUUCUCUUGAUUCUUGUCUCAUUGGAUUCGCCUCAACUUUCUGAACAAGCACCAAGAAGGACCAGACCUGGGUAGAACGAUUUCACGUUCAUCGGAGCUCGACUGGUUUAGAUCGACAAACAACCCUUCGAUCCGUGUAUCUCGAGUUACAGACCACCUCUUUAUGUGAUUCUUGGCUUAGUGAGUUCGUCUUGAAGUUCUGAACAACUCUCCAGAAGGAAUAGAAGCGUUUCGUUGAAGUUUUUACGUCGAAACUCAAGCUCGCCGGAUUCUGGAAUUUUUCCGACCACCGAAGCUUUCGAUCGGUAUAUCUCGAGCUACAGACCAUAUUUUUCUGUGAUUCUUGAACCAAUGAGUUCACCUUGAGUUUCUUAACAACUCUCUAGAAGGGAUCAAAGCCUGAAAUUGAAGUUUUGACGUCGAAAUCAAGCCUUGCCGGAUUCUGCAAAUUUCGCCGGAUUCUGGAAAUUUUCCGGCCACCUCGACUGUUUUAGGUGAUUGACGGUCUCCCUUGGGUGAGCGAUUUCGGUGUGUAUUGUGUUAAACUGAAGACGCAGCGGGAAUAUCGAGCGGGUAAUCCUACAGGUCAAGAGAAUCAGGACGGAG